UGCAGCGUGGCUCAGUGGAAAGAGCCUGGGCUUGGGAGCCAGAGGUCAUGGGUUCAAAUCCCAGCUCUGCCA
rnacentral:tRNA from 1 species